GGCAUCCCACAUAGCUGAGAAUUUGGUAAAGAAGUCAGAAAUGUGGAGAAAGACGUAAAAGGAGAAGAAGAAGAAACAAGGGGAUCUCCUUGGAUUUUCUCUUUCCCCAAAUGAGGCUGGGGACUCCUCCAUUGCCAUGAAAGCUGGGAGAAAGGAGAGUGGGAGAAGAGCAGCAUCUCUCCUGGGAUAAUUGGAUUUCAGUGCUGGCACCCAGCCCAGCCAGAACUGGAGCUGCAGCACCCCGAGCUGAGGGAAGCAGUGCCUGCCCGAGCCUCUGAACUCUCAUCCAGCAAACCUCGCAGCUGGAACCCAAGAAUUCCAGAGCAUGAUCAUCCUAGAGAAGAAAGGCAAGCAGUUCAGAAAAUUUCUAAAGAAAAACAACAUUUUACAAACUCUUCUCUUUUUUUCACCUUACAAGAAAAGACAAUUUUACAAAUUCCUGGAGGAAAAUAUGGACUAAGAAGAGAACACUUCCCAAAAGCAAUAUUAUUUGGUCUUGAUCCUGUGAUUACUUCUCAUGUGAAUGGCAGCCUUGCAGUCAACAUUUAGACACAAUGAGACUGUUCUGCAUGAGGUGGAUUUGAAGUUGUGUGAUCAUAUGACUGUGGAUAGUAAUAAGGAAGGAUUUUCAAGGCAGCCUGAAGCACUUAUGUACCUAAACCAAAUAAAAAUUCAUUACUUGAUUCCUACAUCUCUUGGGUGCCUUUGAAAUAGAUGUAUAUAUAUAAAAAUAUUACCCUUUAAUUAGAUAUCUUUAUUACACCUAAUAGCAAUUAUUAUAAGCAUUGAACACUGUUUUGAUACUUCUACUUCUUUUCCAGACUUUUAUAUUCUUAUAUGGAAACCUUACCUAUGUUGUAAAUUUUUGUUUUCCUGUGAAAUAUAUAUUACGAAGGAGAAAAACUGCUGGUAUGAUCAUGGAAAAUUAAUUCAGAUAACAGAUUAAAAUAAUUUUAAUAUUCUUGAACUUUCA